rnacentral:rRNA from 1 species
CCUACGGAUGGCAGCAGUGGGGGAUAUUGCACAAUGGGGGGAACCCUGAUGCAGCGACGCCGCGUGGGUGAAGGAGUGCUUCGGCAUGUAAAGCCCUAUCGGCAGGGAAGAAGCAAGACGGUACCUGACUAAGAAGCCCCGGCUAACUACGUGCCAGCAGCCGCGGUAAUACGUAGGGGGCGAGCGUUAUCCGGAUGCACUGGGUGUAAAGGGAGCGUAGACGGUCAUGCAAGCCAGGGGUGAAAGCCCGGGGCCCAACCCCGGGACUGCCCUUGGAACUGUGCGGCUAGAGUGCGGGAGGGGCAGGCGGAAUUCCUGGUGUAGCGGUGAAAUGCGUAGAUAUCAGGAGGAACACCGAUUGCGAAGGCAGCUUACCAAUCUAUAUCUGACGUUGAGGCACGAAAGCGUGGGGAGCAAACAGGAUUAGAUACCCGGGUAGUC